GUGGGGAAUAUUGCGCAAUGGGGGAAACCCUGACGCAGCGACGCCGUGUGAGGGAAGAAGGUUUUCGGAUCGUAAACUUCUAUCCUUGGUGAAGAUAAUGACGGUAGCCAAGAAGGAAGCCCCGGCUAACUACGUGCCAGCAGCCGCGGUAAUACGUAGGGGGCAAGCGUUGUCCGGAAUGAUUGGGCGUAAAGGGCGCGUAGGCGGCCUGGUAAGUCUGGAGUGAAAGUCCUGCUUUUAAGGUGGGAAUUGCUUUGGAUACUGUCGGGCGUGAGUGCAGGAGAGGUAAGCGGAAUUCCCGGUGUAGCGGUGAAAUGCGUAGAGAUCGGGAGGAACACCAGUGGCGAAGGCGGCUUACUGGACUGUAACUGACGCUGAGGCGCGAAAGUGUGGGGAGCAAACAGGAUUAGAUACCCCAGUAGUCC
rnacentral:rRNA from 1 species